GACGAACGCUGGCGGAGUGCUUAACAAAUGCAAGUCGAACGAAGUGGCGAACGGGUGAGUAAUACGUGGGUAACCUGCCCUCCUUUUUGGGAUAAGCCUUGGAAACGGGGCAUAAUACCGAAUAAAGGGGGAUGGGCCCGCGGCCUAUCAGCUAGUUGGGGGGGUGAUGGCCUACAAAGGCGGUGACGGGUAGCCGGCAUGAGAGGAAGACCAGCCACAUUGGUGCGGAAGUACAGCCACGACACCAACGGGAGGCAGCAGUAGGUGAUAGUGCACGAUGGGCAAAAGCCUAAUGCAGCGAAGCCACGUAAGGGAUGAAGACUUUCGGGUUGUAAACCUCUUUCGCUAUCGAACGGGUAGGUGGAGAAGAAGCGCCGGCGAACUACGUGCCAGCAGCCGCGGUAGUUC
rnacentral:rRNA from 1 species